CAUGCACCGUGUGAUGGAUGGAGCUCAGCGAUACUGAAAGAUAAUGAUACUUUAGAAGCUACGGAGCCAGGAAGUGUCUCUCGGCCGGAACUAAUCCUGGUCACAUUGCUACACAAAUGUCCUGGCGACUCCCCAUCAGUUCCAUUUGUCUUUCCAAACUUCCAGACGAACCAUUUAUCUCUGUACUUGUCACUUAGGAUUCUCUCCACGGAGGAAAAGUGUUUGGAAGAGCUGGGAGGAAACAGAAUGACAUUUUUCUAAGUGUCUUCUGUCCGGAGACAAGGAGCUUCCCCUUAUACCUCAUAUGACAAUUGACCUGACAACAUGGAGCAGGUAUAGAAGGAGAAAAUACACUGAGAGCAACUGACCAGGAGAACCUAGGAAUCAACCAGUUAGAAAGCUUUGAGAAUCCCAGUCAGAUGAGGGAGGUCCUUCCCGGGUGAACAGAGCACAUUCUGAGGCCAUGGUCUCAGGGAGGUACAGUGGGAGGCCGCCCAACCCCCUCUCUCAGCUCUGCUCCCUUCUGAAGCCUGAUCAAUAAGAGUGUCACAGAGCACUUUUCUAAGAAGGCCAUGAUCUGUGAUUC
rnacentral:lncRNA from 14 species